rnacentral:rRNA from 1 species
AGACCAGACUCCUACGGGGGGCAGCAGUGAGGAAUAUUGGUCAAUGGGCGCGAGCCUGAACCAGCCAAGUCGCGUGAGGGAAGACGGUCCUAUGGAUUGUAAACCUCUUUAGGCGGGGAGCAAUGCCGGGCACGCGUGUCCGGAGGGAGAGUACCCGCAGAAUAAGCAUCGGCUAACUCCGUGCCAGCAGCCGCGGUAAUACGGAGGAUGCGAGCGUUAUCCGGAUUUAUUGGGUUUAAAGGGUGCGUAGGCGGAAUGCCAAGUCAGCGGUAAAAUCGCGGGGCCCAACCUCGCUCCGCCGUUGAAACUGGCGUUCUUGAGUGGGCGAGAAGUAUGCGGAAUGCGUGGUGUAGCGGUGAAAUGCAUAGAUAUCACGCAGAACUCCGAUUGCGAAGGCAGCAUACCGGCGCCCAACUGACGCUGAAGCACGAAAGCGUGGGUAUCGAACAGGAUUAGAUACCCCGGUA